UCCGUAGGUGAACCUGCGGAAGGAUCAUUACAGAAUUUUAAGAUUGGAGGUUGUGCUGGCUUUCGGGCAUGUGCACGCCUUUGAUCAAAAUCUUCUUCAACCACUGUGCACCUUUUGUGGAAUCUGUUGCAGAAAAUGCGAAUUGAGACUAUGCGCCUAACCCGCGCUUGUCUUGUUAAAGUGCAUAUAUGCGCAGGUUUCAUGUCUUACUACACACUAUAAACCAACCUCAGAAUGUAUCGUAUAGAGUUGGGACUCGCGCCCUUCUUUACACAAUGUCUAUACAACUUUCGACAACGGAUCUCUUGGCUCUCGCAUCGAUGAAGAACGCAGCGAAAUGCGAUAAGUAAUGUGAAUUGCAGAUUUCAGUGAAUCAUCGAAUCUUUGAACGCACCUUGCACCUUAUGGUAUUCCGUAAGGUAUGCCCGUUUGAGUGUCAUUUAAUCAUCAAACUCUACUUCAUUUUGUGUGAAGUCUUAGAGUCUUGGUUUUGAGGGUUUUUGCGGGCUUUCACGAGUCGGCUCCCUUUAAAUUCAUUAGCGAGACUUCCCUUUGUUUGCCCCGUCUCUGGCGUGAUAAUUAUCUGCGUCAAAGUGCGGUGCUCGUUGGGCUUGCUUCUAACCGUCUCUUUGCUGAGACAAACCGGUUUAGACCGCAUAUAUGCGCCUUUUCCGAUCUAUUUUGACCUCAAAUCGGGUAGGACUACCCGCUGAACUUAAGCAUAUCAAUAAGCGGAGGAAAAGAAACUAACAAGGAUUCCCCUAGUAACUGCGAGUGAAGAGGGAAAAGCUCAAAUUUAAAAUCUGGCGGUCCUUGCGGCCGUCCGAGUUGUAAUUUAGAGAAGUGUUGCCCGCGUUGGACCGUGUACAAGUCUCCUGGAACGGAGCGUCGUAGAGGGUGAGAAUCCCGUUUAUGACACGGACUACCAAGGCUUUGUGGUACGCUCUCGAAGAGUCGAGUUGUUUGGGAAUGCAGCCCAAAAUGGGUGGUAAAUUCCAUCUAAAGCUAAAUACAGGCGAGAGACCGAUAGCGAACAAGUACCGUGAGGGAAAGAUGAAAAGAACUUUGGAAAGAGAGUUAAACAGUACGUGAAAUUGUCGAAAGGGAAACGCUUGAAGU
rnacentral:sRNA from 1 species